rnacentral:lncRNA from 1 species
ACAUAUUCCAAUAUUAUUUUAGCGUAAGGAACUAGGGCUAUUGAGAGAGAGAGUUGAGAUCCAGAGAUUCCUCAAAAGAAGAUGGAAAAAGCGAGCGAGAGAGUCCCUCCUAACCCUAAGCCCCUGACAUGGCAUCAACUGCGGGACCUGGAAUACGCAGGGCGACGACCCGACCCGUUUAGGACGUCGGAGUCGUACGACGAACACGAGAAACUUUUGAAUCCCAUCGGCGGGGAGCCUGGUAUUUCUUCAAUUCUCCGUUUCCCUUUAUUUUUAGGGUUUCUCUGAAUUCAGAAUUUGAAUGUAAAUUGUGGAACUGCAAACAGAUACCCUACGGACUACAGAGAUUCCUCCUCAGAAGAAGGAAAUGGAAAAAGCGAGCGAGAGAGUCCCUUCUUUCCCUAAGCCUCCUAAGCCUCUGACUGGCUUCAAAUGCGGGACCUGGAAUACGCAGGGCGACGACCCGACCCGUUUAGGACGUCGGAGUCGUACGACGAACACGGAAGACUUUUGAAUCCGAUUGGCUGUUGGACUGGUAUUUCUUCAAUUCUCCCUUUCUUCAUUUUAGGGUUUUUCAGAAUUUGAGUCCU